rnacentral:rRNA from 1 species
CUGAGCUAAAUCACCAGCCCCAACAUGCCCAAUCUUGUCUGAUCUUGGAAGCUAAGUAGGGUUGGGCCUGGUUAGUGCUUAGAUGGGAGAAGAAGAGGAAUAGAUUAGA